UGGGUAACCUGCCCUAAAGUCUGGGAUACCACUUGGAAACAGGUGCUAAUACCGGAUAACAACAAUAGCUGCAUGGCUAUUGCUUAAAAGGCGGCGAAAGCUGUCGCUAAAGGAUGGACCCGCGGUGCAUUAGCUAGUUGGUAAGGUAAUGGCUUACCAAGGCGACGAUGCAUAGCCGAGUUGAGAGACUGAUCGGCCACAUUGGGACUGAGACACGGCCCAAACUCCUACGGGAGGCAGCAGUAGGGAAUCUUCCACAAUGGGCGAAAGCCUGAUGGAGCAACGCCGCGUGAGUGAAGAAGGUUUUCGGAUCGUAAAGCUCUGUUGUUGGUGAAGAAGGAUAGAGGUAGUAACUGGCCCCUAUUUGACGGUAAUCAACCAGAAAGUCACGGCUAACUACGUGCCAGCAGCCGCGGUAAUACGUAGGUGGCAAGCGUUGUCCGGAUUUAUUGGGCGUAAAGCGAGCGCAGGCGGAAAGAUAAGUCUGAUGUGAAAGCCCCCGGCUUAACCGAGGAAUUGCAUCGGAAACUGUGUUUCUUGAGUGCAGAAGAGGAGAGUGGAACUCCAUGUGUAGCGGUGGAAUGCGUAGAUAUAUGGAAGAACACCAGUGGCGAAGGCGGCUCUCUGGUCUGUAACUGACGCUGAGGCUCGAAAGCAUGGGUAGCGA
rnacentral:rRNA from 1 species